rnacentral:snRNA from 1 species
AUGGCUUUGCUUAGUGUAGUAUCUGUUCUUACCAGUUUAAUAUCUGAUACGUGGGCCAUCGGCCCACUCGAUAUUAAUCUUAUUUUUUUAUGGGAAAAGACCGAUCACAAUAGCUUGCUAUUGGGGCUUUGAGCGUCGCUUUGCGUUGCACUGCAGCCUUGGCUGUUGCAUGUAAA